AUAUAUAUAUUUUGUUUUUAUUUAGUAAAACUUACAAUGUUGUUAGUUAACUGUGUUGCACAGCAUAGAUUUAAAUUAAUAAACCAAAUAGAAUAAAUUGAAGAAAAACAGAACAAAAAAUGACAUAAAAGAAUAAUAAGAAAUUUUAUUAUUGAUGGAUAUGAUCAUCAUGUACAUGUGACUCCCCUAGAUAAUAAAUAUGUCCACGAGCUAUAAUCCAAGAGUCAUGUGUAAUCACCCAAAUAAUAAUAACAAUCAAACAAAUGAUCCCACUACAAAUCAAAUAAACAAACCACAAACAAAUAUAACCAAAAAUAGAAGAGAAAAUUAAACAAGGAGUAAAAUGACCACUAAGCCCCCAACAAAAGGACAAAACAAUCCCUCAUCCAAAAACAGAUCUACGCCGUCCACGUGGAGGAUCUAAACCAAAGCCACCGCCACAAGCACCGCCGCGAGAGCGGCGCCGCCAAAGGUAGCCCUGCUGACGAAGCCGCUGCUGCCGUCGGCGGGCGGUUGGUCGGCAGAUGGGCCGGCGGUGGGGCCGGCGGGGCUGGGUGAGGCUGGUGCGGGGGUGCCCGGGGCGGGGGCGGGGGACUCUCCCCCGGCGGUGGGGCCGGCCGCCGGUCCUGGGGUGGGGGCGGGGGUCGCUGGAGCCGGGGAAGGAGUGGCGGUGGGCGGCGCCAUCGGUGCUGCGGUGGGGGAGACCGUUGGUGCGCCUGCCGGUGAUUGGGCCAUGCAUGAAGUGGCCAACAGUGCCAUCACUAGGAAAAGCUUGAACCCUGUUGAUGAAGCCAUUGCUGUUUGCUACUUGCUAGAGAGAGAAAGAGUGUUUUAGAGAGAGAGAUUAUGUGAAGUUUGAAGAUGGACAAAGGCAUAUUGUAAAGUGAAGAUAUAUAUAAAAAGGAGGGAGAGAGAUUAGUGGGAAAAUAAUGAUGAGAUUCCGUGAAGAGGUAUUAAAUAAUUAAGUUUGGACAGGCAUUGCAUGUGUAGUGUAGCUCUGUUUCCACUCUGUGAAAUUAAUGACCAGAAGUCUUCUUCUUUUUUAUUUUUUAUUGGUUGUAUAUAAUGUAAUUUAAAUUAGUGUUUGUUAAGAUGUUUGCAUGUUAGGGUCCGUUUGAUUUUCAGUAUUGGAUUAAUCAGGAUAUAAAUUAUCCUGAUAAUUUAGUGUAGAUUAGUCAUGAUUUCUAAUCUCAGAUGGGUGUUUGAUAUCAUUGGUAAUUAAUCUCAAAAAGUGUUUGGUAUCCAUUGAAAUAGGUUGGAUUAACAUAUCAAAUACCUAAAUUAGUAGCCUAUGGAGGGGGUGGAAUAAUUAGUGUGGGUUAAUCCCAUGGGGGAGGUGGGAUAAUUAGUGUGGGUUAAUCCCACAAAAUAAGCUAGGGUCUUGGGAUAAACCUGGAGUUGACCAUAUUAGUAACACAUAAUAUCAAACACUACAUAAAUUCAUAUUAAUUUAACUUAUCCUGCUUUUAAACCCAUAUCAAACAGGCCCUUAGUAUCAAAACUAUUGCUCACCGUUUAGUGCUAAGCAACUCACUAUUUUGGCCGACUUGGUUAAUAUAUUGAAUUAUUGACUUGAUCAAGGUGAUAUGUGUUCAAUUGCACGUCUUUAGAAAUCCUCAACGACGCUUCAUACCAUUUGUUGAAUACAUCUUACUUGGUUUACAUAUUGAAUAGUAGUUGUUAUAUGAGGGGGGAAUCAUGUUUCCAUAAACUUCACAUAAGUUGAAAGUUUUAAUAAUGGAUGAAUGCAAAAUUGCAAUUAACAUAGAAAAAGAUAAAAAUAAACAUAAGCUAUAUAUACAGACAAAUUCUGCAAGAAAAAGAAGGAACAAACAAAAACUAAAGAGUGACUUGAGAAAUCAUUAAAGAAUUUAUACAUAGCGCAUGAAGAAGAAGUCGUUAUUAAUAGUGAAUUUUCAUUAUUAGAUAUAAGGAGAAAAAUAGUCCCUAAAUUUAAUACGCUGGAAAAGUAAUUAUGAACUAUUAUCAGAAACUUCUAUAAUAUAUAGUGAACUAUUGUCGCGAGUGGACACAACUUUAUAUUGCAAUAAAUAUAUGAAUAUAUGCAUAUAGAAACAAUAAUACUUAUGUAAGGUUUCAGAAACCACAUAAAUGACUCGCCUUGCCUAGAAAACAUUCUACUAGUAUAAUUUAAUUAACAUCGUAGAAAAAAUCACAGAGAUCUAGCUUCCGACCAAAAAAUCACGAGUUCUAAUAUUAAAUUAACUUUUAAUAAAUUAUUCAAAAGAAAAGAGACGAAAAAGGACUAGAAAAAUCUUACCUUUCAAAAUUAGGCUGUCCAAAUUCUCGCAUAAUUCCAAUAAAUCAAAAUCUUCCAUGUAUAAAUUUAAAUUUAAGUUCUUAUAAUUACUUAGGUCCAAUUAAUACAUCGUCAAUCAAUUCCAAUAAUCAUGCCCACUCUCCUAAAAAUAAAAUCACGCCCACUCACAACUUACACCUCUGUCCUUAUGACAUUAUUUCAUUUCAUAUAAAUUAAUAUUAGUGUCAUUCAAAAAUCAAUUGCACGGAAAAGUGUCUCGUCAAGAAAAAUUGACAUACUAACUUGAAUCUAUCAAUAAAAUCACAAAAAUUAAAUUCAAUUUCGUGUAAUAUUCCAUGUCUUCAGUUUUACUACAAGACCCCUCGUUACAUACACACGCACAACACGUGUAAUCAUAAGAAUAUGAACCCCCCCAAAAUACCAAAGGCAUCUAAAAAAGUAGGCAAAAGAAAAAUAAAAUAAAAUAAUUGAUGAAUAAUGAGCUGUAACUUUGUCAAAAGGGUUGCAACUUUGCCCACUUUGAGUUGGUGCUGUGUCACAAUUUCCUUGAAGCUUCUUCGGAAAUUUGAUCGCAUCUCUUGCUAUUUUUCCUAAGUUAGUUGAACAAAUUUCAAAAAUUCCAAACUCUGUAGGCCUAGAAAUUCUAAAAUUUGCGGUUAUUUCCUUUGGUAUUUUGUUGGUGGGUAUCACGUCCUUAUCAUCUAAUUAAAGGAGGGUAAUUCAAUCUUAAUCUUGUCUUCAAAAUUUGAAUUUCAAUUCAUAUUAAUUUAUAAAACCAUUAAUAAAUUAUGAAUACUGUGCCAUUGAAAUUUUAAAUUUUGAUUCAAACUCUGACAUGUUUUUUACGAUGAGAUACUAUCUCGGUAAUUUGUAGCAUACAACAUAGUUGUAUUAUGAUGUGACACGAGUAUUUUGUAUAAUGUGUAAUGUUUAAUAGUGUUUUCAAAAAUAAAAACAAGAUAGUGUAUGUAUAUGCGGUGGUUGGGACAGCGGAUGACAGUCUGGAAGCCUCAAGCUUUUGAUACGCUCUCCCGUGAGAUGAUGGCCAACCACUACAUACCAUGCGACUAAUAUUACUUAUUAUUUCAAUAUUUUCGUUAGUUGUUACGCAUAAAUCGGUUACAUUUUAUAUGGAAAUAAUUUUCAUCGUUAUGUGAUUUCUCUAUAGAAACAAAGUCGCACAAAGUCUAAGGUUUGGUUAAUCAUUUAUUAAUAGAUCGAAUGAAAUUUCGAAAUGCAUGAUAAGAUUUCACAACGAUUUCUGACAAACUAUCUUUAAAGAAAUAGGUCGAAGAUUGAUGCAAGUUGAGUGAACGAAUGAGAAUCGGCAAACAAUUUUCAAGGAUCAUCAAGUUUCUCGCAACGAUAUGCAAAACAAGUUCGAAGGAGUUCUUCGGGAACACACUCCGAUGCUUCAAGAUUUUGUGGUGAAGGUUUUCAAAGAGAAAAUUAGAGAAAAUUAAGGGGAUGUUUACUUUGAAAAAUUAGUCUUUAUAGAUAAAAAUAAUAUGGUUAAUCCUUUGUUUAUUUUGAUGGAUUGAAACUUUGGAGUUUCCAAGGCCCUUCAUUGCUUUGAUCAUUUAAGCUAGUUUUGUUUGAUUCUUAUCCCAUUGUAAAUGUGGAAUUUGAGAAAUCCUACUUUUAAGGAUAAAAAUGAUCAAUCAUGCAAAGUAAACAUCAACUAAGUGUUUUAGAGUGGUGUGUUGAGUAUAUAACCUUAUAACAUAGACGGGGUAUUUAUAAAAGAAUGAUACCUUAGGGUAAUUCAGUCUUAUUCCCGAGCAUUGGGGGUUAUUUCGUAUUUUGAUUCGGGACACUUUUUAUCUGAUAUUGUAGCGGAAAUUGUUCUUUAUAUUGAAAGCAAACGAGGACAAUCAUGUAUAUCUAUUUAAAAAAGAAUGCGUGGAGUGGUCCCAAAAUUCUGUUAUAGAAUAUUUAUAAAAUAUUUCAGAUGAAUUAUGUAGUACUAAGCAGGGGCGGAGCCAGACUUUGGAAUUAGGGGGGUCAAAUUUUCUUUAAUAAAAUUAAUAAUUAAAUAAAUAAUAAAAAUAAAUAAUAAUCAUCAACAUAAUUAUAAUGUCAUUUAAAUUACAUAACAAGUAAAAAAACAAUUUAUUUCUCAACUAACAACAUUUCUCUCCUAUUUUUCAUGCUCUGAAACCUUUGCAUAAUAGCUUCAUUAGUAACAUCUACAAACUUAUCCUUUUCAAUACAAGGUACUCCCUCCGUCCCGGUCCAAUAGUCCCAUUUCAUUUGGGCACGGAGAUUAAGAAACUUAUUUUUUGAGUGUAAAAGUGAGUAAAGGUGUGUGGGAUCACAUUGUUUGUAGUGUAAAAUAAUUACCAAAAAUAGAAAUGAGACUAUUGGAGUGGGACGUCCUGAAAAGAAAAAUGGGACUACUGGAGUGGGACGGAGGGAGUACUAAGCAAUCGUUCAAAAGAUUGUCUCUCAUACGAUUGCGAAGAACACUAUUGAUCAUCUUCAUUACUGAAAAGGCUCUUUCCACAGACGCAGUGGCAACUGGUAAAGUCAAUGAUAACUUAACUAACAAAUACACCAAUGAAAAAAUAUCAUGAUUCCUUGUAGAAACCAUCUUCUCAGCUAGCUCUCCAAUCCCUGAUAAUCCUAAGAACUUUUCAUCCAUGCGCACAUCAACAAUAAAGUUCUCAAGCUGACUUUCAAGUUCAUACAAAGCAACUUCAAAAAAUUUCGAUGGAUAAAACUUUGCAAGACGAAGUAGCUUUUCAAUAUCAAAUCCAGAAAAUGAGUCUCUAGGAUCCAAGCAUGACAUGCAUAAAAUCAAUUUUGUGUUGACUUCAUCAAAACCUUGAUUCAACUCUAAAGCUUGCAUAUCAAUCACAGUGUAAAAUAGCUUAACUAGAUAAUGGUGGAGAUUUGUCAUUUUCUCAACUCUACGCCUUCUUCUUCCUCGAGGUGCAUAUUCAUCUUCCAUAUCUAGCAUUUCUAUCUCAUUUUUACUACAAAACCUAGAAAUGUCAGUUAACAUCAUCUCCCAUUAUUUAUCUCUCAUUGUUUGCAAGCGAGUUUUUGCAACAUUAACAAGUUUCAUUGCAUUCACAACAUCUUGUUCUUUCUUUUGUAGCACUUGAGAGAGAUCAUGUGUAAUUCCCAAAAUUUUCUUCAUCAGAUGUAACACAAAGACAAACUCAAAUCGACUAAUAACAUCUAACAAAUCCAUAGCUUCAGAUUUUUGUGAAUCAUCGCUACCAUUUGCCCCAACAUACUCAAGAACAUCAACAACAAAUGUAAAUAAGUGAAUCAAGUUGAUGAGAGUAUCGUAAUGAGAACUCCAACGAGUAUCCCCAGGUCUUUCAUCCCAUUUCUUGAUUCAACCCCCUUCCUGUCUUAAUUUUAUCACUUGUAAUGCCUUCACUAAUCUUCUCUAUUUGGCUUUCUCUAAGCAUAUCACUGCGCUUACAUGAACCUCCAACCACAUUGCAUAAACGCGAGAUAGUAUUAAAGAAAGACCCAACAAUGAUAUGUUGUUUUGCAACACAACAAUUGUUAGUUGAAGCUGAUGAACAAAACAAUGAACAUAAUAAGCAUUAGGAUUGCUCUUAAGUAUUAAAGUUUUCAAUCCACUGAAUUCACCCCUCAUGUUGCUUGCACCAUCAUAUCAUUGACCUCUCAAACUAGAAAUGCUUAACACAUAAUUAGAAAACAAGGAAUCAAUUCCCUUCUCAAGUGAAGUAGCAAAUAACAAUUGUGUCACUAACUCAAUCAAUAUCCAAUUUAAUUUAUUUAAAUGCAAACUUUACUUUACCUUGCAGUGAUGUAGACAGUUGCGGCUUGUAGGAGACAAACCAGUGGCGCACUGGAGGCAGAUAGUCGACGACGGCGUCGACAAAAAUAGCUGGUAGAGAAGUUGGAAAGCAGCGCGACACAACUUGAGAUUUGAAAAUGGCGAUUCAGAGAGGAAAGAGCAGCGACGCAAUUGGAAUGGAGAAAAUUUAUGGGAUUAGGUUGAGAGAUGUGAAACUGAGCACUAAAAUAAUUUUUUAUUUUUUAUUAAUAUAUAUGAAAUUACUAAAAUACCCCUACAAAAAUUACCAAAUUCCAGGGAGGUCCAAUGACCCCACUGCCCCCCUGGCUCCGCCCCUAGUACUAAGCCAGAUCCUUUAUUCAUGCUUGGGAAAAUGUCUCUUUAUUUCCAAACAAACUCCUGAGCACAACUUCUAGCUCAUGGGAAGAUGUGAGGGUAUCAGAUUUCCUUGAUGCAUGUCUUUCGGGAGGUCCCUGAGGGAAUUCAGAAGAGGUCGCUUCUAAUAUUUUUCCAUGUCUUUUCUAGGUUUGUCACUACUUAGUCAAUUUUAUACUCCCUUCGUCUACGAUAUCGUUUUCACUUUUGUCAUUUUGGUCUAUUUACGGUAUCGUUUUCACUUUCAUUUAUAGCAGUAGGGUCCACAAACUCUACUCACAAUUAUAGUGAGAUCCAAACUCCACUCACAACAAUACCCACUAUUAUCCAUCACUUUCUUAAAACUCGCGUCGUCCACAAAGUGAAAACGAUAUCGUGGAUGGAUGGAGUACUAAUUUUGCUUGUAUUGGAAUAGUGGAUCUGGUCCAUAGUUUGGGAGUUGAUAUUAUUAUUCAUCAACUAUUGUUGGGAAAAUUUUAACAUUUUGAUGUUAUACCAAAACCCUUUGUGCUGAUGAUGUUUCUGCUGAUGUAAACCUUUAGAUUGAAACUCACUUGUUAGGGAGUGUGCAUCUUUUCUUUACAGGAUAUCAGCAUAAAGAACUAUCAAGAAAGAAGCGAUAGUAGUGCAUAAGACUGAAUCCAAAUUGCUGAAGAUAUGCCUUGCUAAUAUGAUUUGUUGAGCUGAAAGAUUGAACAUGUUGAAGCUGAUUCAAGUUCACCAUGUUGAUGUUGAGAAAGAGACUCAAUCAGAAGUAAAGCCAUGUCAGCCCUAGUCAACAUCAACUAAAGGCGAAGUCAACCUGCAGAGACUACACUUACCCUGCUGCAUUUAUUGUGGAUCCUAUAGUAUCUAGAAUUCACGUCAGAGCAAGUACGAGAAAAAUCAGAAUAUCAGUAUCUACCUUGUCCUAUAAACUGACAACUGAAAUCAACAUCCCAUGGAGCAUAACAAGAAGAAUUUCAAAGUCAACAACUACAAUAGAUUCAAGAUGUUUUCUCAAAUGAGAUUAUUUUAUCCAAGGAGUAUAAAUAUCCUGCAACCUCUACUAAAGGACUUACCAGAAAUGCUGCACAAUCAAACUCAUAAACAUUUAAGCUCUCAAUCUCUCUAUGCUAAAGAGCUCAACAUAUUUAUGAAUCAGGGAAUUCAAACUUAUUUAUAAGUUAUCUUCCAUAAUUUCUAUGUAAGAUCUUCCAAAGUUAGCAUACAAAUAUUCCCUAUACUCCCUCCGUCCCACUCCAAUAGGCUCAGUUUCCUUUUUGGGUUGUCCCACUCCAAUAGGCUCAGUUUCCUUUUUAGGUAAAAAAAUUGUACUUAAUUGGUGUGGACCACACAACUUUACUACCACUUUUCUACUAAAAAGUAAGUUUUCUUAAUCUCCGUGCCCAAAUGAAGUGAGCCUAUUGGAGUGGGACGGAGGGAGUAGGUGUUUCUCAUUGUAAUCCUAAGUCUAGAAAUCAAACACAUUAAUAUUUAUUAAUUAUUCUUCAUUGUAACAGUGUGUUCAUUAGUUGGAAGUCAAAUCCUUCGAACACCCACCCGUAGACGAGCCUAUUUUUCGUGAUCUUUUUGUACAUCGUUUAAGUUUAGAUCGAGUCUUUUUUUGUGUCUUUUAUUUCUGGGAGGACACAUUUUGGGCAAUAGGAGAGGUGGACAGGAUCUUGGACAAAACAUCUUGCAUUCCCCAAAAGAGGCAAGGACUUGAAGUCAUUCAUGGGCACAAUACUCGUACACAUUUUGCCCAGUCCAAGUACUAUGGAGAAUCCAGUUUUGUUCAACGAAAAAAUGGCAAGCCAAACUGUGAGCGAAAUCUGAGCAUAAAUAUCAGGAAAACUUUGA
rnacentral:lncRNA from 1 species